GAUGAACGCUGGCGGCGUGCCUAACACAUGCAAGUCGAACGGGACUCGCAAGAGUUCAGUGGCGACCGGGUGAGUAACACGUAGACGACCGACCCUAAAGUGGGGAACAACCUGCCGAAAGGGAGGCUAAUACCGCAUGAGCGCUGAGCUUUGGGGUUCAGCGCAAAGCCGGAAGGCGCUUUGGGGAGGGUCUGCGGCCCAUCAGGUAGUUGGCGGGGUAACGGCCCACCAAGCUGAUGACGGGUAGCUGGUCUGAGAGGACGAUCAGCCACACUGG
rnacentral:rRNA from 1 species